UGUGAGCGCGCGCCCACGGCAGUUGGUCUCUGAGGCGGCGGCGGUAACAGUUAAUCUCAGGAGGUCCUGCUCGGUCCGGGCGCCAUGCCUCUGGAUCGUCAGGUGGCCAUGGGGAACCUUGGCAAUCAGGACAUACUGGCCAUCUUCUACCGCCUGCGCUUCGUGCUUAGCAACCACAUAGAGGCCGCCUGGCGAGCCCGGAACCCGGCAAUGGACGUGGGAGGAGGAGGAGAAGGCGCCCGGUUGGUCAACGGUCGUAUUCGCCCACGCGGGUUCUGAGUGACUUGGAGCACUGCUCGCCCUCGCCCAAUGCCUGGCAUAGGAUAUGACUGUCAAUAUUUAGCUCAACAAGAAGACAUGGCAUUUACACACAAAAGGAAGACAUGAUUCAUUGGUUUUAAGUAAAUACAACAUAAUGCAUCCUAAAAGUGCCUGGACUCUAGGGCUGACUGAUGGAGGACCCACCAUGACCCAUUAAUCCCCUAAUAAUUAACACAUGGAAUGGGGUACCAGUGAUGAAAAAUGACCACAAUUAACUCCCUUUCAAGACUCAUUCCCAGAUAUCUGAUCCGACCAAAACUGGGAUCUCUGGGUCCUUAAUUAACAGUGAAACAUCCUCUCAUUCUCUUGGUUCUGCUUCUGUUGAGAGGCCCUGCUUAAAUCACUUUCUUCAGCUCGUUGAAAGCAGCAGGACAAAAAAGCACUGCUACUACCACAAAGGAAGCUGGGCCACUUACCUUUGAAGAUGGCUUGCACACCUCAUCUUUAAGUCUUUCCCUAAGAAUGGAUGGUGUGUUUUGACUGCAGUGCUAAAAGUCAGAGCUGAGCAAAUAUAACCUACAGAAUAUUUCUUUUCAUCAGUUGCUUGGAGUCACAUAGUGGUCACUAAAGUUUUACCUGUACGUCAAUGACCCCAUGAAGUUAAGAGACAGUUAUUUUCAUAGCUGGGAUGAUAGUGCCAACUGCUACUAGAAAGAGGAUGAGACACUUAGACCACUGUGACAAAGCACAAGCUCUUCAGGCAAAUGUAAGCUACAGGACCAGGAAGCCAGAACUACAGACUGAAGUGCCUUCUGCACCCUCCUUUCCAGCAUUCAGUUCACAUGCAGAGUGGCUGGCCGGUGAUGUGUGCAGUAUGUAGAAAGGCAGGUAGGGCCAGGACAUAAGUGAGCCACACUUGGUCUGCUACUGCCUGGCCUACAGCCAAGCAGGGCUGGGCAGGAGCCAUCAGGAGCUUUGAUGCUCUGCUCCAGCUUUCAGAUGGAAAAGGAAGUGGAUUGCUCUCUGGGUCCCUCCUGAUGUAGGCACACUGUCUCACUGUUCUGGUCUCCCCAGGACCUUCAGCCACCAAACUGUCAAGGUCAAUCAGGCAGCAGGGAUGAGAAGGCUUCAUGAAGAGGUCUACCAAGCACUGUUCUGGGUGCAGAAGACAUGCGGCCUGGGCGGUGCUGCAUCAGCCCAGAUGGAUUUCUAGAGUGCUGGGUCUGGCCAGGGCUGGCUGUGGCACCAGAAGAGAGAGACAGUGCCAGACCCAUUUGGAGCUGAGAGCAUCGAGCCCACCCUGCCCGCCCUGCUCAAGCCUUCCAUGGCUGUGUUGUGAAUGUGGUAUGAAAAACUCUGAAAAGGCCCAGGUGCUUCUCCAAACUGCUGGACCAUUUGGACACCUGCUCCACACUGAGAUGUGUUCUAACGAAGUUCUUCUAGGACUUCUCAUAGUUUUCCUCAUUCUAGGUUAAAAUUGGCACAUAACAGGUUUGUUCCCAUCUUCUCCUGUUCACCACACAUGCCCUGUAAUUUUUCUUUCCUCCCUAGGUUUCAAAUGUGGGAGCAAGAGUUUUCAGAGCCUACGUUCGCCAUGUUCAGGUCCAGUCCCUGUGCUUCUCCAUGGCCCAUCAUUCUCCCUGUGUCUGCUCUGCCUCUCACUGGAUAGAUGUAGGUGAGAGAUGUGCACCCCAGUACUCACUGUUUUGGGUCCCAAGUAUACAUCUACAUUGAUGGCAAAGCUAUGAGCGUAGCUGCCCCUUCCUCAUUCACCACAUGCCUGUGUUCAUUUUGUCAUUGGUGAGCACUGUGCUGUGCAACCUUCUAGCCUAGAUCUGGCCCCAGCAUCCUGAAGCAUAUGAGGCACCUUAGAGAAAAGGUCUAAAUGGGCCUUAUAAGAAAAUGAGAAUACUUUCUGUUGCAUUGUGUUUUGAGUCUUAAGUUACAGGCACAAAGCUGCAUGAAUUAAACAUUCCUAAAGUCUGUCUACUCAGCCUCUUACACUAGUCUGUCCACAGGAAAGGCAUUGAAAUAAAAGGAAAGAUGAAGAGCAAUACAGUCCAGCUUAAGUCUCUGAUGUGAUGUAUUAAAUCCCUAGGAUGUGGUGAAAGUGAACGCUGACAGGUAUCCUUAGGCUCAGAGACCACAACCACCCAGACUUGAGUACUUUGUCCCCCUACCAUUGCUUUCCUGCUUCUAGACAGUUUUGUUUGGUGACGAGUUUCUUGGGAGUAAGGGGCAGCUGACUUCUAGUGGGAACACCAAUUAUAGGACUUUCCAUGUAAGUCUCUAACAGUUGAUGGGUCUUUAGGAUGCAUGUGAGAAGCACUGCUGUGGCAGGUACCAUGCCAAUGUUCAGCCUGUGAUUAACCUUCAGAGUGUCCAUUAGCAUGUAGCCACUUCAGUGUUCAAUCUACAGCCUCUCCGGUGGAGGUACAUUAGACCCGCUCUUCCUUGGCCUCUCUGGAGCUGGCCGGCUUUUCUUGUUUGUACAGUGUACAGUGCACUCUUCUGCUUCUACCUACAAGUAGAGUGAGUGUGAGUGGCCAUGCUGCUGAAAGUGGCCUUCAUGCAGAAGACUUCCAUUUUCAGAUUUUUGUUCUGAGGACUUUGGGCUUUCUGAAAGCUCUGAGCUAUUUCAUUUCCUCAAAACCUCCCAUAGCUGGGUUAAAUGCUUUUAUUGCUGCCUCCUGUGUUGAUGUGUGUACUGUCAAGAUUUGGAAGCAGAUAUAAAAUGUGAGUACACUCUCACUACAAGUAGUCAUCAGAAAAAGACCUCCUUUGGUCAUUCUUCACAGCUCAUUUCUUCCUGGUUUAUACUAUAAUGUUGCUUUUGAAUAGUUUCCUUGCUACUUAGCAAAAAGCUAAGGACCUCACUUGCCGAGUAACUGUCCAUCUGCCAGACCUUCCUUGAGUGGCUUGUCUGCCUCUUGUUGCUUUACCGGGCUAGUUGCUCCCAUGCUCACCCUGUGUUGCCAGACAGCAAGCUUUCCUGCUUUUGUUACCAACAGAGACAAGUCAACAGCCUGGAGAUUCUCUGUGUACAACUCCAGGCCAAGUACUGACAGAGACUACCUGGUAGAUUUAGAGAGUGAUACAGACUUAACAAAACGCAGCUCUGAGGGUACAGGGAGAGCUUCCCAUAGUUGGUGGCAUUGAACUAAAGCCUUUUGUUUGCGUGUUGUCAUAUACAAGCAUAUCGCUCCUUUCCAGUUAGCCCACUUACUGAGUGCCCGUCUUUUGCCAGGCAGCAUGCUUAUGUCUCAACUUUCGAGUAUUGCCAGUUCCCUAGCAAGUAGGAAUAACUGUCCCCAUUUCACAGAUGAGGAAACUGAAGCUUAGGGUAGUCACAGCAUCUGAAGAAGUCCUACAUCUCAGUAGCUGGGCUGAGCUUUUUGUAUAAUCCUGGUAGGGACAGUCUGAAUGUCAAAAGCUGAUUCUUAACCUGCUUUGUCAAGAGUAUGUUGAGUAUUGACUGCCAUUUUUCCCCCUCACAUUUAGGAUGCAAAUCAAAAUACCCAGAGACCAUCCUUUCAGCUGUGGACUUUAUAGGCACAGGCAUUAACACUGAAGGUCCCCUGGGAAAGAAAGGGGCUCUGUUCUCAUCUUUUUUUUUCUUUCGUGGUCUUUACCAGGUUAGCUUUUUGUUUUGUUUUGCCUUUUUUUUUUUUUUAAUCGUUUUAACUGUUUGCUUGGCUAACCAUUGAGUAUUUCUCUCUGCUUGUUCUUAAUCUGAAGCAGCAGUUCGGAGCUGCUAACAAGAAGAAAGCUACACGCUGCCAUUUGUGAUUGGUAUCUGCAUGAGCAAAAGACCCCCCCCCCCCAAGCAAUUGCUGACAUCUUUGAUGGCCACCAAGGGAACUUAGAGGGCCUGAAGUAGAGGAUCAGCCCUGGUGAUGGUUCAUGUAAAUCUGCUUGUGUGGUUGCCUGAAUCUUAGCUGCUUUGUCAGCCAUUUCUAGUAGACUGGCUCUUGAUGGUUUGUGCUGUGCACCCCUGCCCACCAUAAUGCAAUCUUCUCUGCUUGUCUGCCUUGGGGACAGUUGAUAUAAUCUGCCUUUGUAGUUCAGCCUUAACUUCUAUGUUACUCAUAUCCAGUAGGUUCUCUUUUGACAAUUUGCAGUGUGCACCCCUGCCCACCAUAAUGCAACCCUCUCUGCUUCUCUGCCCUGUAUUCUGGUCUGGUCACUCACUGACUGUCAUGAGAUAUGAUGGCCCCCGCUAGAUCUUCUCUUGGGACUGUAGACUGGUUGCAGCACUGUAACAGGCUUUAGGCUUUGUCUUUGGUUCAGAAAUGCAUUUGUUUGAGACUGCUGACUAGUUACGAAAUUCCAGUAGACUCUGACUUCAGAAAAUUUCAUUUGAGCUGGUCUGGUGGCUCGUGUCUAAAAUCCUAGCACUCAGGAGGCUGAAGUAUUAGCAUUGUCAUGUUGCAGUCAACCUGAGCUAACAUAGUUCCAGACCAGCUUGGGCUACAAAGCGACAUCCUGUCUCCAAAAAUAUAAUGAAAAGUUGGGGGUGUGGAAGAGGAAGAGACCAUGGAUAGGGCAGAUACUCGCACCUGUAUUGUGCCUUGUCCAUUUCUGAAAUCCUCUGGGAUCUAUGUUCAUUUCUGAUACUCGGAAUUUGGCACAGCUCUGCUUUGUGAGCACCUAUAAUUCUAGUUCUCACACCCAUGGUACCUAUGCCUGGUACCAUUAGCACUUCAGGAAUGCCAUAAAGAGCAUCUCUGAGGGCCCUGAGGUUCCAGCUGCCUCUCAUGUUAACAAGUUACAUCCUUUUCAGGCUCCUAGUUAAAGAGUAGGCCUGGAAAUCACCCCAUGGGCAUCUGAGUGUUAAUUAAGGGUCAUUCAUAUUCAAGAGGUUCAAGAAAAUGACUUGCUGCAAUGCAUAAAUAUGAAUUAGAUUAGAAGAACAGUUGGCUGGACAUUGGGAUUUGAGUUACUAGUUAAAACUAUGUGUAAAAGGAAAAAGACUCUUAUCUAAUCUUUUGUGAAAUUAUUCCAGACCCUCAUCUGAGACUCCCAACUAAGCCCCUGGGCCUACAGACCCUGUGAUCCAGACAGCUGAGGGAAGGACUAGACCCUGGGCAGAAGAAAGAAAGGAUAGAUAAAAGCCAGUACCUUGUGGCAACCACCUCAGGGUAAUUCAAAAAUGCCCCCAAAAUUGAUCUAACAAGAACCAGGGCACCUUUCUCAGAACUAGUGUAUAUUUGGCCAAAAGGAAGGGUACUAGGAACAUGACUGCUUUGUAAAGGGCCAGCCAGACAGCAGCCCCAGCCCCAGUGUGGCUGUGGUCUCCAGAUAGGUAGUAGUAGCCUCUGGAUCAAGGAAGCCCAGGGACUUGAAUGUCAUCAGUGGAACUUUGUGUGACACUUCCGGUAGGUGGUCAUGGUUAUCACAUUUGGGUAUGAAAUAUCACCCCAAAGCACUGAUAGGUUGAAGGUUCCUCAGCAAGUGCUACUGUUGAAGAAUUAUUGUAUCAUAAGGGUGAUGACAUCAGAGGUUUAAUCCACUGAUUAUUUCAUAGUUUGACAGUUAGCUCAUCGGGCCUAUUUGUAGGAUGUGGGACACUGAAAGACUGUAUCUUGCCCUCAACCCAGUCUCCAUUCUAUCAUGAGGGAAGCACUCUUCUUUGCCAAGUGUUUCUUUCUGUGGUGUUCAGUUUUGCCUCAGGCCUACAGCCAUAAGGCCAAAGAACCACGGAACAAAGCCAUGAGCCAAAAUAAAUCUUUAUUCAUUUCA